CAGGAAGGCAGAAAUUGCGCCAAAAUUUGAAUGAGAAGAUACGGCAGCUGGAAUAUCGGCCCUGCACAAAAUGGCUCCAGUGGUUAGAAACAGGUGGUGGCAGAAUGGUUUUGUGGCAACUGCAAGCAUAUGGCAACUUCAUGGUUUUCCACAAGGUUUUGAGGCCAGUUUGCAGGUGAUGCUAAAGUUAACAGAUCUACAGCAACGGUUUACAUAGAGCCACAAAACGUACUGCCUAGUACGUAGUCAAAAGAAAUGUUUCUGCGCCUCCUGUCUUGUGAGGUUAGAACAGAUUUUACGAUGAGAGGAGAGAGGCCAUAUUGGGAAAAGAGCUCACUUCACCUCAGCUGGUGCUGUCACUAGAUGAUGCCCACUCAAUACAAUAACACUGUGUGGUGUAUGAUAUGUUGUACAAAGUUUGUGUAGAAGCGGAAGACUACAAGCUUAUCGGGACGACUUACAGAUUGCCGAUAACUUGAUCCAACGCCUUUAUGCAACUAUUCCUUGAUGGGAACUUGUGACAUCAGGCCAGGUGAUGCUAAAGUUAACAGAUCUACAGCAACAGUUUACAUAGAGCCACAAAACGUACUGCCUAGUACGUAGUCAAAAGAAAUGUUUCUGCGCCUCCUGUCUUGUGAGGUUAGAACAGAUUUUACGAUGAGAGGAGAGAGGCCAUAUUGUGAAAAGAGCUCACUUCACCUCAGCUGGUGCUGUCACUAGAUGAUGCCCACUCAAUACAAUAACACUGUGUGGUGUAUGAUAUGUUGUACAAAGUUUGUGUAGAAGCGGAAGACUACAAGCUUAUCGGGACGAAUUACAGAUUGCCGAUAACUUGAUCCAACGCCUUCAUGCAACUAUUCCUUGAUGGGAACUUGUGACAUCAGGCCAGGUGUUUUCCAGCUGGAGUGCGUGUGCGUGUUUUGUGUAACUGCUGCUCUCAUUACUCGGUGUACCAGUGGAAAGGGAUUGUCCUUGGCGUUCCUGUUUGAACUACAAACCUUACUAAUAAAAUGCUAAUAAAGUGCUUCUGAUAUCUGUUCUAUUAAUAAAGUUGUCUGAUCUGAUCUUA